UACGUAGGUGGCAAGCGUUGUCCGGAAUUAUUGGGCGUAAAGCGCGCGUAGGCGGCCACUUAAGUCGGAUGUGAAAGCCCCUGGCUCAACUGGGGAAGUGCACCCGAAACUGAAUGGCUUGAAUGCAAAAGAGGGUCGCGGAAUUCCCGGUGUAGUGGUGAAAUGCGUAGAUAUCGGGAGGAACACCACGUGAGCGAAGGCGGCUCG
rnacentral:rRNA from 1 species